AUUGAACGCUGGCGGCAGGCCUAACACAUGCAAGUCGAACGAGUGGCGGACGGGUGAGUAAUGUCUGGGAAACUGCCCGAUGGAGGGGGAUAACUACUGGAAACGGUAGCUAAUACCGCAUACCAUCGGAUGUGCCCAGAUGGGAUUAGCUAGUAGGGGGGGUAACGGCUAACCUAGGCGACGAUCCCUAGCUGGUCUGAGAGGAUGAACAGGCACACUGGAACUGAGAAACGGUCCAGACUCCUACGGGAGGCAGCAGUGGGGAAUAGUGCACAAUGGGCGAAAGCCUGAUGCAGCCAUGCCGCGUGUAUGAAGAAGGCCUUCGGGUUGUAAAGUACUUUCAGCGAGUAGGCGUUACUCGCAGAAGAAGCACCGGCUAACUCCGUGCCAGCCGCCGCGGUAAUUC
rnacentral:rRNA from 1 species